GACGAACGCUGGCGGCGUGCUUAACACAUGCAAGUCGAACGGAAAGGCCCUGCUUUUGUGGGGUGCUCGAGUGGCGAACGGGUGAGUAACACGUGAGUAACCUGCCCUUGACUUUGGGAUAACUUCAGGAAACUGGGGCUAAUACCGGAUAGGAGCUCCUGCUGCAUGGUGGGGGUUGGAAAGUUUCGGCGGUUGGGGAUGGACUCGCGGCUUAUCAGCUUGUUGGUGGGGUAGUGGCUUACCAAGGCUUUGACGGGUAGCCGGCCUGAGAGGGUGACCGGCCACAUUGGGACUGAGAUACGGCACAGACUCCUACGGGAGGCAGCAGUGGGGAAUAUUGCACAAUGGGCGGAAGCCUGAUGCAGCAACGCCGCGUGCGGGAUGACGGCCUUCGGGUUGUAAACCGCUUUCGCAUGUGACGAAGCGUGAGUGACGGUGAUGGGUAAAGAAGCACCGGCUAACUACGUG
rnacentral:rRNA from 1 species